AUGCAGGGAGCGCCGGUGGACAGCCCGGGGGCGGCGGAGGCAGCGGCGCGGCCGAGCCGGUACGAGUCGCAGAAGCGCCGGGACUGGCACACUUUCGGGCAGUACCUUCGCAACCACCGCCCGCCGCUGGAGCUCUCGCGGUGCAGCGGCGCCCACGUCCUCGAGUUCCUCCGCUACCUCGACCAGUUCGGCAAGACCAAGGUCCACGCUCCAGGCUGCCCCUUCUUCGGCCACCCUUCCCCGCCGGCGCCCUGCCCUUGCCCGCUCCGCCAGGCCUGGGGCAGCCUGGACGCGCUCGUCGGCCGCCUGCGCGCCGCCUUCGAGGAGCACGGCGGGCGGCCCGAGGCCAACCCGUUCGGCGCGCGCGCCGUCCGCCUCUACCUCCGCGAGGUGCGCGACUCCCAGGCCAAGGCACGCGGCAUCGCCUACGAGAAGAAGCGCCGGAAGCGCCCGCCGCCGUCGUCGUCCCAGAAGGCGGCCAAGGCCGCGCCGUCCCCACCCCCACCCGCCUCCUCCCAUGUAGCAGCGCCGCCCCCAGAGAGCGCGCCGGAGGUCCUCGUCGCGCGGGCCGUACCCGCGCAGGGGCACUACUUCAUCCCGCACCCGCAGCACUACAUGCACGCGCAUUUCCUGAUGCCAGGCGGCCACGACGCAGACGCCGCCGUCCCGAACAGCUCCAGCGGCAACAGCAACGGCCACAGCAAUGGCCACAGCGGCGGCACGGGCGACGAGAUGGCCAUAGCGAUGGCGGCAGCGGCGGAGGCGCACGCGGCGGGGUGCAUGCUGCCGCUCUCCGUGUUCAACUAG
rnacentral:rRNA from 1 species